AUUGAACGCUGGCGGCAUGCCUUACACAUGCAAGUCGAACGGCAGCACGGGAGCAAUCCUGGUGGCGAGUGGCGAACGGGUGAGUAAUAUAUCGGAACGUGCCCAGUCGUGGGGGAUAACGCAGCGAAAGAUGUGCUAAUACCGCAUACGAUCUACGGAUGAAAGCGGGGGAUCGCAAGACCUCGCGCGAUUGGAGCGGCCGCUAUCAGAUUAGCGAGUUGGUGGGGUAAAAGCCCACCAAGGCGACGAUCUGUAGCUGGUCUGAGAGGACGACCAGCCACACUGGAACUGAGACACGGUCCAGACUCCUACGGGAGGCAGCAGUGGGGAAUUUUGGACAAUGGGCGCAAGCCUGAUCCAGCAAUGCCGCGUGCAGGAUGAAGGCCUUCGGGUUGUAAACUGCUUUUGUACGGAACGAAACGGCGAGCUCUAAUACAGUUUGCUAAUGACGGUACCGUAAGAAUAAGCACCGGCUAACUACGUGCCAGCCGCCGCGGUAA
rnacentral:rRNA from 1 species